rnacentral:rRNA from 1 species
CGCGGGAGCAAUCCUGGCGGCGAGCGGCGGACGGGUGAGUAACGCUUGGGAAUCUGCCUGUUAGUGGGGGACAACCCGGGGAAACUCGGGCUAAUACCGCAUACGCACUUAGGUGGAAAGCCGGGGACCGCAAGGCCUGGCGCUAACAGAUGAGCCCAAGUCGGAUUAGCUAGUUGGUAGGGUAACGGCCUACCAAGGCGACGAUCCGUAACUGGUCUGAGAGGACGACCAGUCACACCGGAACUGAGACACGGUCCGGACUCCUACGGGAGGCAGCAGUGGGGAAUAUUGGACAAUGGGGGAAACCCUGAUCCAGCGACGCCGCGUGGGUGAAGAAGGCCUGCGGG